rnacentral:rRNA from 1 species
GACGAACGCUGGCGGCGUGCUUAACACAUGCAAGUCGAACGGUGAAGCCCUUCGGGGUGGAUCAGUGGCGAACGGGUGAGUAACACGUGGGCAAUCUGCCCUGCACUCUGGGACAAGCCUUGGAAACGAGGUCUAAUACCGGAUAUUACCCUUGACCGCAUGGUCUUGGGUGGAAAGCUCCGGCGGUGCAGGAUGAGCCCGCGGCCUAUCAGCUUGUUGGUGGGGUGAUGGCCUACCAAGGCGACGACGGGUAGCCGGCCUGAGAGGGCGACCGGCCACACUGGGACUGAGACACGGCCCAGAGUCCUACGGGAGGCAGCAGUGGGGAAUAUUGCACAAUGGGCGCAAGCCUGAUGCAGCAACGCCGCGUGAGGGAUGAAGGCCUUCGGGUUGUAAACCUCUUUCAGCAGGGAAGAAGCGCAAGUGACGGUACCUGCACAAGAAGCACCGGCUAACUACGUGCCAGCCGCCGCCGUAACAC